rnacentral:rRNA from 1 species
CCUACGGGCGGCUGCAGUGAGGAAUAUUGGUCAAUGGGCGCGAGCCUGAACCAGCCAAGUAGCGUGAAGGAUGACUGUCCUAUGGGUUGUAAACCUCUUUUAUAUGGGAGUAAAACAGGCCACGCGUACCCUUCCGUGUGUACCCGAUGAAUAAGCAUCGGCUAACUCCGUGCCAGCAGCCGCGGUAAUACGGAGGAUGGGAGCGUUAUCCGGAUUUAUUGGGUUUAAAGGGUGGGCAGGCGGAUGAUCAAGUCAGUGUGAAAAUUUACCGGUUCAACCUCUUAGAGCAGUUGAAACUGGUUUUCUUGAGUGAAGGAGAAGUAGGCGGAAUGCGUGGUGUAGCGGUGAAAUGCAUAGAUAUCACGCAGAACUCCGAUUGCGAAGGCAGCAUACUGGCGUUCAACUGACGCUGAUGCUCGAAAGUGUGGGUAUCGAACAGGAUUAGAUACCCCUGUAGUC